rnacentral:rRNA from 1 species
GACGAACGCUGGCGGCGUGCCUAAUACAUGCAAGUCGAGCGAAUCAAAGGGAGCUUGCUCCCUGAGAUUAGCGGCGGACGGGUGAGUAACACGUGGGUAACCUGCCUGUAAGAUUGGGAUAACUCCGGGAAACCGGAGCUAAUACCGGAUAACAUUUCGAACCGCAUGGUUCGAAAUUGAAAGGUGGCUUAUGCUACCACUUACAGAUGGACCCGCGGCGCAUUAGCUAGUUGGUGAGGUAACGGCUCACCAAGGCAACGAUGCGUAGCCGACCUGAGAGGGUGAUCGGCCACACUGGGACUGAGACACGGCCCAGACUCCUACGGGAGGCAGCAGUAGGGAAUCUUCCGCAAUGGACGAAAGUCUGACGGAGCAACGCCGCGUGAACGAUGAAGGCCUUCGGGUCGUAAAGUUCUGUUGUUAGGGAAGAACAAGUACCAGAGUAACUGCUGGUACCUUGACGGUACCUA